CCGGAAGGGGCUGUUCUGUCAGCCCAGGUGGGAGAGUGGAGGUCCCUGGCCUGGAAUGGGCCUUGAAGAAAAGAGGAGGAGAGGGAAGGAAGGAUCCUUCAGGUGGGGGAAAUAUGCAGAGCCAAGGAGUUUGGGCUUAUGGGGUGAGAAAUGGGGAACCACAGAAGGUGCUUGAGCAGACCACCACCCUGGUGUGCGAUGCAGUUUAGGAAGGCCCGUCUGGAAGCAGACGGAAGGCAGACAGGGGGGAAAGAGACUGGGUCUGGGGUUCCAGUGCCAAGACUAGGUAGGCAUCUGGGACAGGAUCGAGCCUCUAAAUUGCAGGAGGAACCAGGAACCAGACAGCACACGCUGAUGCAUCAGAUGCAUGCCCCACUUAACCACCACUGAAUGAAGAUACGGAACAUUUGCAUCAUCUCAGAAAGUUCCCUCAUGCUCCUCUGCAGUCCAACUCCCAGACCAGCACUGAUCUAAUUUCUGUAGAUUAGUAUUGCCACUUUUGGAAUUUCAUAUGAAUAGAAGCAUUCGGAUCUGAUGCCACAGAAAUGGGUGACUGAGACAUCCCCCACCUACAACUCCGCCUGAGAGCGGCUGACACCUGUACAGGGACGAUAACAAGUCAGAACCUUCGGCAGCGUGGGGACCAGAACUCCCGCCCUACCAGCCAAGAGCACCCAGAUGUCUGAGAUGGUUCUUGCUUAUUCACAUCUCCAAGGAUAUAGAAAGCCUACCUGAGCCUCCCUGUGGCCUGUCCCAGCCUUUACUGGAAGGGAGUCCAUCUGGUGGUUUAAUCUCAAUCCCUUCUUAAUCUAGUCUUCCGUCACUGACUUCAGGAAGACCUCCCUGGGGACAACCAAGCUGAUGAAACAUCUGUUUUAGUCCAGAGAGGUAUUUGACAUCUUGAAUGUGGACACAUGUGCUUGGACAAGGAGAAAAUGAGAGCCUCCCAACAAUGGGAAAGUAAGACUUCCACUCCGAUGGGUAUGGCAUGAGGAGUUAUUCCCCUCGUGACCCAAGGUCAGUGUUAGGACUGGGCACUAGCUCCCGACAGUGGUCCCAGAAGUAACGUGGUCACCAGCUCUGAACCCAGUCACCAAAGGAAUCAUUCAAGUUUUCCCAGGUCAGAAAAGAAGAUCUGGGGUGCAGACCCCCCAGAGGCUCAGCAUCUCCCCAACCCGGUUCCAAAAGAACAUAAGGGUCAGGCUCUCCCAGACUCUUCUGGGAAGUGGGACCCGCCAAAUGCAGCAGGACACAGAGAUCCCUCCACCUGCCCAGGAGUCCAGCUCCGGGCUGCCUCCCCACCCACACUGACGGGCUACACGAUCACGAACAAGCCAGUCUCCCCGAAUCUUUCUAUUUGCCCUUUCAGUGUGAGGCCUCCUUUUACCCUGCCUUCUAACCAACAGUGUUCUGGAACCAGUUCA